UACGUAGGGGGCAAGCGUUGUCCGGAAUCAUUGGGCGUAAAGCGCGUGUAGGCGGUUUCGUAAGUCUGCUGUGAAAGUCGGAGGCUCAACCUUCGAAAGCCGGUGGAUACUGUGAGACUUGAGUACGGAAGAGGAGAGUGGAAUUCCUGGUGUAGCGGUGAAAUGCGCAGAUAUCAGGAGGAACACCAAUUGCGAAGGCAGCUCGCUGGGACGUUACUGACGCUGAGACGCGAAAGCGUGGGGAGCAAACAGG
rnacentral:rRNA from 1 species